UACUGAAAAAGCUAAUUUGCUGAGAAGGUUGCCUCCAGUUCGUUUUCCAGUCUAUUGUUUGUGAUCUCAUGGAAGGAGAUGUUAUCUAAAAGGUAGUUGUGAUUAUCAAACUACGAAAGAAAGCUUUAUCUGCUGAAGGAAGCAGGAAAAAAAUCACAAGUGAGACCUAUGUUUGUUUCUUAUGAUAUUUAAAAACUGAAGGAGAGGCAGGGAGGUUUGAAGGCAGGUGCUUAGGAGGAAGAGGAGAGUACAAGGAAAAGAGUUUUGUUUCAGUGAUUUUGGAUGCAAUUAAUAGAGUACCUUAUAACAGAAAAUGGAAGGGGUAGCACCUGGUAUGUUUGAAUUGCAAUCUGACAUUUGAUUUUUGCCAGCUGUUUUGCCAUUCUGUAGUCCCUGCUUUUUGAAGUCUCUAAUUAUGUGCACAUAUGACCCAUUCAGAACUGAUUUUUUUUUUUUUUUUUUACCUUUUGACACAGCGUCUUCCUUCUCUACAGCUCUAAUUCCAAGCAGCAAGAUGAUACUGGCAGUCUAGAAGUGCUGAGAAGCCCUACACUUUAUGGAGCAGCAGUGUGAGCUGUUGCUUAUUUUAGUUGGAGGUGUUGACAUUUUUCCAGUGUGUACCUCCUUGACUCACCCUUUCCCUGCAGCUCAUACCUGAACUAUAGAAUGGAUGAAAAAGUGUGCCCUGCUUAGUGGAGGCUAUAGGGGGAAGCAGAAGUGGGCUUUUUUAGUUGUUGAUUGUUUACUUAAUGUUCUCAGCUUCAUCCUGAUUGUUUUGGUUUCUUAUUGUGUCUGUUGUCCUUGGAGAAUAUUCUUGCGCUAAAGAAUUUAGUGUAAGAGAGAAAGGGUAAUGUUGGUUCACAUGAACAUAUUUAUAUAAAAUUCUUUCCAUGCUGACUGCUCAGGGAGAAUUGAAUCCCUUGGUCAGCUGUCACAGCUGUUUCUGCAUUUUUUGCCAUUAUUAAUUGCAUUACUUUUCCAUGUUUCCUCCUUCAGCCUAUACUACUGUUUCAUCUAUUUACAUUUUGCUUGUCAUUCAUUUCUCUGUAGACUCCAUUUAUCUCCCUGUACCCCAUCACCUGAGUCCUACGUCAUUCACCUUCUUGAUUUCAGAAGAGAAAAUCUCUGUCUGAGCACUUAAACUGGUUUGAGAAAUAGACUCCUCAAAAAGGAAUUUCCCAGCCCUGAGCUGAUUCCAUUAUGACUUCAAAUGGGUCUUUUUCAGAACUGAUAUUGAUCCUCAAAACUGGCACGAAGCAGUCAAAACUGAAACAAAUGCCCAGGCAUUUCACAGGCUCCCAUUAAAGCAAAUUUCAUCCAGUGAAUACCAGUGACUUGAAGAUCUAUCUUGAGCUGCAAAGCCAGGCAGAUGACAUCAGCAUAUGCAUUGAUAACCACAUCAUGUACUAGGGGAAACGAGACAAGUAUAAAGGAAAAAAGCACUUCCAGAAAAUCUUCAAAUAUUACAGCCUGUGGCAUUAGCCAACUUUGCAGCCUAGAAGUCUUCCUGCUAAGAAAGAGGAAAGUUACCAGCGUCCACCUUUUAUGGGAGUGCUCACAAGCAAAAGGGAGAUUUGUGUUUGUAUUAUUCUCAUUAUAAAUAUUUCAAGCCAUUGUAUCAGAGUCUCCUGACCAUUGCACUGCAGGUUAAGCCACAUGGCUGCAAUUCAAUUUGAAGUCCUUCUGUAAAACUCAAAGCAUUGUGCAACCAAGUAUGCAAACCAUGGGGUAAGGCAGGGAGAAAAAAAAGCACUAGAAAAAACAUGAUGCUGUAGCACUGUGGUUGAGGUACAAAGAAGAAAUUGCAAACCUGAAGAUUCUUUUCUGAUUUUUAGGCUUAAUAUAAGUGAAAAAUAAUCCUACAAAGGCAGACUGGAACUCAAACUUUUCUGCUUUCAUGUGUAUAUCUAAAACUCUUAAGCAUUUUUGGAGUCUUCAGGCUUUUAUGUACCAUACCAUAAAAUAGCUUGUUGGUACAAUUUUUUGCUUACCUGUAGAUAUAAUGCACUUGUUUCACCUUUCUGUGGACAAAAAAUCUCAGGAGGUGAGUAGAAAACUAGAGACAGCUGACAAGGCACAAAUCUAUCUGCCUUAGAAAAGAGCAUUCAGUCUUUGUGUGUACAAGAGCCUAAAUAUCUUACAAGCAUUUACUGAAAGUCUGGCUGAAAUGCACAUUUUUCAGCAGUCUGCUACAGUAACAUGCUGGAGUUGUGCACAAAUGUGUAGGAAUGGAAAAUGGAAGGUAAAUUUUAUAUCAUCACCCACACGCAGCAGAAAUGAAAGCAUUGCAGAUUGACACCUAAAUACUGCAGCAUUCCCUCUCACGGGGAUAUGAGAGCUGGUUAGGCUUGCAUCUCCUGAGAUGAGUGUCAAAUAUUAUUUUGAUGGUCAGUUUUCCUGAAGAUUUCGUGUACAUUUUUACAUUUGGUCUCCUGUAUCUGCAGGAUGUCAUGGUGAAUGACAAUAAUUGGAGCCUGGUUGGGCAUAAAACAGACCAUGCAGGCAGUGCCCUUCUGUCAGCAUUCCUUCUCUGUGCACAUGCUGAUAUGUCUUAUUUUACAUUUGGAUAUUUAUUUCCUCUUUGUUGUUUGGCUAGUGGAUAUAAACAUAAUACAGAGCAGAGAUGCAAGACUUAGCCAGCCUAAGAGCUUCUCCACGGGGUUUUUAAUGCAGCAGUACCUGGAUGAAAAUAAAAG
ensembl:lncRNA